rnacentral:rRNA from 4 species
UGCAGAAUCCCGUGAACCAUCGAGUUUUUGAACGCAAGUUGCGCCCGAUGCCAUUAGGCUGAGGGCACGUCUGCCUGGGUGUCA